AUUAUCUUCCAUUCUGGUAUAAAUAUACCAAAAUGAAAUUUACUGUCCUAUAUAUAUUCAAAAGGAAAAUAAUAAUAAAAAAGAUGGAAUGGUUGCAAUUAUAGCUAAGAUGUGUAAAAUGCUCUGAAGGUGUUUCACUUUAAAUGUUUACAAAUUGUUACAGGAUUCAUGAUCUUUAAAUCUGUCCUUUAAGACACUGAAACUACCCUUCUAGGAAGGAUGAACAUCUCUAGUGGGGUGGUUAUCAGGCUCUGGGCAACAGUCUGAUGUUUAAAUAUUUAAAACAGGGCCAGUAACCCAAUCAACAAAGGGCCAAGGACCUGAACAGAAGAGGAUAUACAAUCAAUCAACAAAUAUACGAAAAAAUGCUCAUCAUCUCUAGCAAUCAGAGAAAUGCGAAUUAAAACUACUCUAAGAUAUCAUCUCACUCCAGUCAGAAUGGCAGCUAUUAUGAAGAUAAACAACAAUAAGUGUUGGUGAGGAUGUGGGGAAAAGGUACACUCAUAUACUGCUGGUGGGACUGCAAUUUGGUGCAGCCAAUUUGGAAAGCAGUAUGGAGAUUCCUUGGAAAGCUGGGACUGGAACCACCAUUUGACCCAGCUAUUGCCCUUCUUGGACUAUACCCAAAGGACCUAAAAACAGCAUACUGCAGGGACACAGCCACAUCAAUGUUUAUAGCAGCACAAAUCACAAUAGCUAGACUGUGGAGCCAACCUAGAUGCCCUUCAGUGGAUGAAUGGAUAAAAACAUGUGGCAUAUAUACACAAUGGAAUAUUAAUCAGCAAUAAAAAAUAACAAAAUCAUGGCAUUUGCAGGGAAAUGGAGGGCAUUAGAGCAGAUUAUGCUAAGUGAAGCUAGCCCAUCCUAAAAAAACAAAUGCCGAAUGUCUUCUCUGACAUAAGGGGGAUGACUCAAAAUAGGGUAGGGAG
rnacentral:lncRNA from 1 species